GCGUUAAGCAUCCCGCCUGGUGAUUACGGUCGCAAGGCUGAAACUCAAUAGAAAUUGACGGGGGCCCGCACAAGCGGUGGAGUAUGUGGUUUAAUUCGAUGCAACGCGAAGAACCUUACCUGGGCUUGACAUCCCGGGAACCUCCUGGAAACAGGGGCGUGCCCUUCGGGGAACCCGGUGACAGGUGCUGCAUGGCUGUCGUCAGCUCGUGCCGUGAGGUGUUGGGUUAAGUCCCGCAACGUAGCGCUACCCUUGUCCUUAGUUGCCAUCAGGUAAAGCCGGGCCCCCUAGGGUAGACUGCCGUAGGUGAACUCGGAGGAAGGUGGGGACGACGUCAAGUCAUCAUGGCCCUUACGCCCAGGGCUUCUACUACGUACUACAAUGGUGGGUACAAAGGGAAGCCAAGCCGCGAGGUGGUAGCCAAUCCCGAAAAGCCUACCCCAGUUCAGAUCGCAGUCUGCAACUCGACUGCGUGAAGGCGGAAUCGCUAGUAAUCGCGGUAUCAGCACGCCCCGGUGUUACGUUCCCGGGCCUUGUACACACCGCCCGUCACACCACGUAAGCUGGCUCUACCCGA
rnacentral:rRNA from 1 species